CUGCUCAAUGAAUUUUUAAAUAGCUGCAGUAUAAAUAACUGUACUAAGGUAGCAUAAUAAUUAGUUUAUUAAUUGUGAACUAGAAUGAAGGAUUAAAUGAGAUAUAAACUGUCUUUAAAAAAAAAAUUAAAUUUAUAUUUUAAAUAAAAAUAUUUAAAUAAGUUUAAAAGACGAGAAGACCCUAUAGAAUUUAAUUUACUUUAAUUUUAAUUUUAUUUAUUAUUAAAAUUUUAAGUAAAUUUUAUUGGGGUAAUUUUAAAAUUAAAUAAAUUUUUAUUAAAAUUUUAACAUUAAUAAGUGGAAUUAAUAAUAUUUUUAAAUUUUAAAUAUAAAAUUAAAUUACCUUAGGGAUAACAGCAUAAUUUUUUUUUUAAGAUCAAAUUUAAAAAAUUGAUUGUGACCUCGAUGUUGAAUUAAAAUUAAUUAAAAAGGAAAAUUUUUAUAGUUUAAGUUCUGUUCGACU
rnacentral:rRNA from 1 species